CGAACGCUGGCAGCGUGGAUGAGGCAUGCAAGUCGAACGGUCGCGUGGUGGUAGCAAUAUUGCUGCGCGAUAGUGGCGGAAGGGCGAGUAAUGCGAGAGCAAGCUACCCCUCGAUUCGGAACAACGGCUGGAAACGGCCGCUAAUGCCGGAUACGAACGGUUGGUCGCAUGACCGAUCGUUGAAAGGCCGGGACCCGCAAGGGCCGGUCGUCGAAGGAGGCGCUCCCGUGCCAUCGGCUAGUUGGCGAGGUAACGGCUCACCAAGGCGUACGGCUAGGUGGACUGAGAGGUUGGUCACCCCGCACUGGGACUGAGACACUGCCCAGACUCCUACGGGAGGCUGCAGUCGAGGAUCAUUUGCAAUGGGCGAAAGCCUGACAAUGCGACGCUGCGUGCAAGGAUGAAGGCCUUCGGGUUGUAAACUGCUGUUGGGAGGGAAAAGGACGCGGGGCCAACAACCCCUGCCGUUUGAUUGUACUUCCAGAGAAAGUCACGGCUAACUCUGUGCCAGCAGCGGC
rnacentral:rRNA from 1 species